rnacentral:rRNA from 1 species
GAUGAACGCUGGCGGCGUGCCUAAUACAUGCAAGUCGAGCGAACGGACUAGAAGCUUGCUUCUCUGAUGUUUGCGGCGGACGUGUGGGUAACACGUGUAUAACCUACCUAUAAUACUGGGAUAACUUCGGGAAACCGGCGCUAAUACCGUAUAAUAUUUUGAACCGCAUGGUUCAAAAGUGAAAGACGGUCUUGCUGUCACUUAUAGAUGGAUCCUCGCUGCAUUAGCUAGUUGGUAAGGUAACGGCUUACCAAGGCAACGAUGCAUAGCCGACCUGAGAGGGUGAUCGGCCACACUGGAAAUGAGACACGGUCCAGACUCCUACGGGAGGCAGCAGUAGGGAAUCUUCCGAAAUGGGCGAAAGCCUGACGGAGCAAAGCCGCGUGAGUGAUGAAGGUCUUCGGAUCGUAAAACUCUGUUAUUAGGGAAGAACAUAUGUGUAAGUAACUGUGCACAUCUUGACGGUACCUAAUCAGAAAGCCACGGCUAACUAAGUG